ensembl:lncRNA
CUUUGACACGGCUGCCCUGCUCCUGUCAUUACUGGGCACACUGUAACCAACAAACAACAACUUUACAUCCACUGUAAUUGCUACAUAAUUCAACAGAUGCAGUGGAAUGACCUCCAGUGAAUCUUGGCUCUUGAGGCCACAGGACCCUUUGGGUGGCUGUCUGACAGCACGUCCACACGGCAUCACACAGACUCAUCUCAUGUCAGAGAGGGGCAUCUCCAGCCAUUAGAAUUUAUCAGCACAUACUGUCCCCUGGAACAUCAUGCCCAUCCCCCAAAAGCCCACAAAACAACCAGCCUGCCUCUUGGUCACAAUGCCACAUCUAUUCAAAUCAGCCCUUCAUACACAAGACUGCAGCGGAAAUUGGUCUUUUGUCACUCAAGAUUAACAAUCUCUUCCCAAAUCCCCACGGAAAAUUCCAAAGUCCCAGUCACUCAGUGACUCGCUGUGACGCAAAUGCGCCUCUCGUCCAGGAUGCUGAGUGUACUUUUAAAUAGAAGUGUUUUAGUAAAAUCUAUAUUCACUGUUUCCACUAAACUCAAGUAGGUGGGCAAAACAGGAUGAGCGCUCGGAUAGGUUCAAGAGUUUCAUCAGCUCGAGCUCAAAAAUAGACCCUCAAACACAUCAUUAUCGGGGUUUGUAUAUAUGCACUGAAAGUGAGACAGAAUCUGCCAGAUGAAGUUAGCAGGGAGACGCCUGACCCGAUAUUUCCUUUGUUGUUUGGUCAGGAAAGGGAAGGUUAUUGUAAACCGACUCGAGAGUAAAUAAUCCCUACGUUUCCAUAGCAAAGUCAUAAACAGCCUGCAGAAACAAAGGACGAAAAGACAAUAAAUCUAAUGAUGGUCAAUUUUUGUUUAGUUUCCAAAGUGUUUUCGAGUGAAAUUCUAUUUUGAAACAAAGAGGCACCUACAUUUUUCCAUGGAGAAGGGGAAAUCAGAUGUUUCAGAGAUUUCUGCGCUUCUUUUUUUAUUUCUUCAAGUGAAUAGCCCGUGUAUUUUUCCUGGCAGACCUGCCUUGUGUUGUGACAGAUAUAUGGAUACUGUUUUGUUAUUCUGUCAAGAAACUUCCAGUAUAACAAAACCUGUUUUUAGGGCUCUGUAACAAGGAAGUUUCAAAGUUCAAGAUGUUUGAAACUAUCACUUGGCCCACACUCAAAAUGCGAGCACCAUUCAGAGCACAGACUACAGGACAAGGGUUGAAGCAACAUGUUGAAACUGUGAACUUCAGACGAACUACAUUUAAACAGUAACACAGACAAAUAGUAACUCAUCCUAGACCUGAUGACUAAAAUAGUAUACUAAAUAAAUGAAAGCCAUCUGAAGGUUGAUUUUACAUCAAAACACCAAUGUGUUUUUUGAGCCUAACACAUGAAGAGAGUUAAACAAAAUCAGUUACAGAGUUGGUUUUGUGUUGACAAAACCAAACAAACUGAACCUCGUUCUCAUCUGAUUAAGUGGUCUCACAAAGCUUACUAGAGUAAAAAUGUGAUGUUUACUUUUUUAAAUAAAUAAAUAAUAAAUUACAUUAAUUCUAAAGCUUAUUUAAAGCUUAUUACAUUUUAUAUUUGUACUAAUUUAAUUUAAAAAAUGUAAUAUUAAUUGGCAAAUUGUAAUUCCAGGUAAUGCAUUGUAUGUUAGUAAACUAAGAUUUGUAGACUUAAAAAACCUAACAUAAAAAUCGCC